UACAGAGGUCUCAAGCGUUGUUCGGAUUCAUUGGGCGUAAGGGGUGCGUAGGCGGCGCGGUAAGUCGGGUGUGAAAUCUUGGAGCUUAACUCCGAAACUGCAUUCGAUACUGCCGUGCUUGAGGACUGGAGAGGAGACUGGAAUUUACGGUGUAGCGGUGAAAUGCGUAGAUAUCGUAAGGAAGACCAGUGGCGAAGGCGGGUCUCUGGACAGUUCCUGACGCUGAGGCACGAAGGUCAGGGGAGCAAACGGG
rnacentral:rRNA from 1 species